UACGUAGGUGGCAAGCGUUGUCCGGAUUUAUUGGGUUUAAAGGGUGCGUAGGCGGUUUUUUAAGUCAGUGGUGAAAUACGGCAGCUCAACUGUCGAGGUGCCAUUGAUACUGGGAAACUUGAGUACUGAUGAGGUAGGCGGAAUGGACGGUGUAGCGGUGAAAUGCUUAGAUAUCGUCCAGAACACCGAUAGCGAAGGCAGCUUACUAAGGAGUAACUGACGCUGAGGCACGAAAGUGUGGGGAUCAAACAGG
rnacentral:rRNA from 1 species